AAAUCCGUCGACUUUUGAAAUCGUGAGG
rnacentral:tRNA from 3 species